rnacentral:rRNA from 1 species
GAUCCUGGCUCAGGAUGAACGCUAGCGGCAGGCUAACACAUGCAAGUCGAGGGGCAGCGCGAGGUAGCAAUACUUGGCGGCGACCGGCGAAAGGGUGCGUAACGCGUGAGCAACUUGCCCGUAUCUGGGACAUAAGCGGUGGAAACGCCGUCUAAUUUCCCAUAACAACAGAGGCCGCAUGACUUCUGUUUGAAAGAUCCGUCGGAUACGGAUGGGCUCGCGAGACAUUAGCUAGUCGGCGUGGUAACGGCACACCGAGGCGACGAUGUCUAGGGGUUCUGAGAGGAAGGUCCCCCACACUGGAACUGAGACACGGUCCAGACUCCUACGGGAGGCAGCAGUGAGGAAUAUUGGUCAAUGGGCGGAAGCCUGAACCAGCCAUGCCGCGUGAAGGAAUAAGGCCCUAUGGGUCGUAAACUUCUUUUGUGGUGGAGCAAUAAGGUGUACGCGUACACCGAUGAGAGUACAUCACGAAUAAGCAUCGGCUAACUCCGUGCCAGCCGCGGC